AGCAGCCGCGGUAAUUCCAGCUCCAAUAGCGUAUAUUAAAGUUGUUGCAGUUAAAAAGCUCGUAGUUGAAUUUCGGGAUUAGUACGCUGGUCAUGCCUUUGGUAUGUACUGGUGUUACUGAUUUCUACCUUCUGAAGAACCGUUAUGUCAUUCAUUUGGUGUGGCGGGGAAUCAGGACUGUUACUUUGAAAAAUUAGAGUGUUUAAAGCAGGCUCGCGCUUGAAUACAUUAGCAUGGAAUAAUGAAAUAGGACGUUGAUCCUAUUUUGUUGGUUUCUAGGAUUGACGUAAUGAUUAAUAGGGAUAGUUGGGGGCAUUAGUAUUCAAUUGUCAGAGGUGAAAUUCUUGGAUUUAUUGAAGACUAACUACUGCGAAAGCAUUUGCCAAGGAUGUUUUCAUUAAUCAAGAACGAAAGUUAGGGGAUCGAAGACGAUCAGAUACCGUCGUAGUCUUAACCAUAAACUAUGCCGACUAGGGAUCGGAUGAUGUUAAUUUUAAUGACUCAUUCGGCGCCUUAAC
rnacentral:rRNA from 1 species